CAUAAACAAAAUAAACAUGGAAUACGUUGACUCACACCGAAAGCCAGGACUCCACAGAUCAUGUGGAUGUCUUAUUUGUCUGCCUGUGACCUACCGUUAAUGAUCACCAGCCCAGAGAGUCAAACAUUUUAUUUUACACAACAUUUUCACCAAACAUCUUACAAGAUGGCCAAGCAAAAGGUCAAACCUCUCAGUUGGCCUUCCGAGGGCAGCUGGUGUUAGAAAUGGCUGAAUUGGGGGCCCAAAGCAACCUCAUAACCAUCACAAGACCCCCCCCCCACUCAAAGUGAGCGACACUAUCCAACACACAUGCCAAAAAGAAGAACAGCAAGCAUUGCACAAAACGCGGGGGGAAUGCCAGAUCUUCUGUCCGAAAUGGCAGUUCACUUGUUUCCUGGCAGAGAGGGACUGCUUCAAAGACUAAGCUACGGGGAAAGUGAAAUCCAAUCAUCUAUACCUGGAUUUGUAAAUAGUUAAUCUUAUUUCUAUUUUAGUGAAGGACACGUGUGUAACCAAGUUUGUUUGAUAAGACAUUUGUAUAUAUUUUUGAAUAUAUAUCGGUUGCUUUUAUAAACAGUUCAUUUGUAUGUGGGACCAAUACAUUGGAUAUGCCUAGGCUAAAAGUUCAGGCACUUUGGAGAGGUUGAAAAAACACUUGGAUAUCCCCUGUAUGUCCCCCGACACCACCACAAUGUUAGAGGUUGGUGUUGUCGAAACUUUUACUUUUAGGCACAUCCAGUGUGCAAAAACAGUACAAUUACCACAUUUGGACACUUUUGGAGAGGUUGAAAGGACACUUGAAUGUACCCUGGAUACCCCUUAACACCACCACAAUGUUUGAGUGAGGUUGAUAUGGUAGAAAUUGUGUUUUUAUACUGAACAAAUAGCAUUUAGGGAUUGGAAAUAUGUAAUAGCACUGGAAUUAUCUAAUUUACAGACAUGCCACUCUGGAGAGGUUUAGGGACACUUGGAAACGUCCUAUGACCACACCUGACACCACUUACUAAAACUUCUGCCCAUUUCUAGUUGUUAGGUCUAUCAAUCCCAUUGUUCACAUGUUGUGGAAGCCAUCUGAUACGUUUCCAGCUCUGGGCAUCAAUAAUUCACUUAUAGCUUGUCAAUUAAAGAUUACUUUCAAAAUAAAAAAA